rnacentral:rRNA from 1 species
ACGGUCCAGACUCCUACGGGAGGCAGCAGUGGGGAAUAUUGCACAAUGGGCGCAAGCCUGAUGCAGCCAUGCCGCGUGUAUGAAGAAGGCCUUCGGGUUGUAAAGUACUUUCAGCGGGGAGGAAGGGAGUAAAGUUAAUACCUUUGCUCAUUGACGUUACCCGCAGAAGAAGCACCGGCUAACUCCGUGCCAGCAGCCGCGGUAAUACGGAGGGUGCAAGCGUUAAUCGGAAUUACUGGGCGUAAAGCGCACGCAGGCGGUUUGUUAAGUCAGAUGUGAAAUCCCCGGGCUCAACCUGGGAACUGCAUCUGAUACUGGCAAGCUUGAGUCUCGUAGAGGGGGGUAGAAUUCCAGGUGUAGCGGUGAAAUGCGUAGAGAUCUGGAGGAAUACCGGUGGCGAAGGCGGCCCCCUGGACGAAGACUGACGCUCAGGUGCGAAAGCGUGGGGAGCAAACAGGAUUAGAUACCC